AGUGAACGCUGGCGGUAGGCCUAACACAUGCAAGUCGAACGGCAGCACAGUAAGAGCUUGCUCUUACUGGUGGCGAGUGGCGGACGGGUGAGGAAUACAUCGGAAUCUACUUUUUCGUGGGGGAUAACGUAGGGAAGCUUACGCUAAUACCGCAUACGACCUACGGGUGAAAGCAGGGGAUCUUCGGACCUUGCGCGAUUGAAUGAGCCGAUGUCGGAUUAGCUAGUUGGCGGGGUAAAGGCCCACCAAGGCGACGAUCCGUAGCUGGUCUGAGAGGAUGAUCAGCCACACUGGAACUGAGACACGGUCCAGACUCCUACGGGAGGCAGCAGUGGGGAAUAUUGGACAAUGGGCGCAAGCCUGAUCCAGCCAUACCGCGUGGGUGAAGAAGGCCUUCGGGUUGUAAAGCCCUUUUGUUGGGAAAGAAAAGCAGCAGGUUAAUACCCCGCUGUUCUGACGGUACCCAAAGAAUAAGCACCGGCUAACUUCGUG
rnacentral:rRNA from 1 species